rnacentral:SRP_RNA from 1 species
GCCGGGUGCGGUGGCGCGUGCCUGUAAUCCAAGCUACCGGGAGGCUGAGGUUGGAGGAUCGUUUGAGCUCAGGAGCUCUGAGCUGCAGCAGGCUAUGUCGAUCGGGUGUCCGCACUAAGUUCGGCAUUGAUAUGGUGAUCCUGGGGGAGCCCGGGACCACCAGGUCGUCUAAGGAGGGUGCACCGGCCCAGGUCGGAGACGGAGCAGGUCAAAGCCCCCGUGUCGCUCAGUAGUGGGAUGCGCCUGUGAAUAGAUGCUGUAGCGCAGCCUGAGCAAUACAGCGAGACCCAAUCUUUA